CCUACGGGGGGCAGCAGUGGGGAAUAUUGGGCAAUGGGCGCAAGCCUGACCCAGCAACGCCGCGUGAAGGAAGAAGGCUUUCGGGUUGUAAACUUCUUUUAAGGGGGAAGAGCAGAAGACGGUACCCCUUGAAUAAGCCACGGCUAACUACGUGCCAACAGCCGCGGUAAUACGUAGGUGGCAAGCGUUGUCCGGAUUUACUGGGUGUAAAGGGCGUGCAGCCGGAGAGACAAGUCAGAUGUGAAAUCCACGGGCUCAACCCGUGAACUGCAUUUGAAACUGUUUCCCUUGAGUGUCGGAGAGGUAAUCGGAAUUCCUUGUGUAGCGGUGAAAUGCGUAGAUAUAAGGAAGAACACCAGUGGCGAAGGCGGAUUACUGGACGAUAACUGACGGUGAGGCGCGAAAGCGUGGGGAGCAAACAGGAUUAGAUACCCCUGUAGUC
rnacentral:rRNA from 1 species